CGUGUAGGCGGGUGUUUAAGUCAGGGGUGAAAUGCCAAGGCUCAACCUUGGAACUGCCUUUGAUACUGGAGAUCUUGAGUCCGGGAGAGGUGAGUGGAACUGCGAGUGUAGAGGUGAAAUUCGUAGAUAUUCGCAAGAACACCAGUGGCGAAGGCGGCUCACUGGCCCGGAACUGACGCUGAGACGCGAAAGCGUGGGGAGCAAACAGGAUUAGAUACCCUGGUAGUCCACGCUGUAAACGAUGGAUGCUAGCCGUUGGGGAGCUUGCUCUUCAGUGGCGCAGCUAACGCUUUAAGCAUCCCGCCUGGGGAGUACGGUCGCAAGAUUAAA
rnacentral:rRNA from 1 species